rnacentral:snRNA from 1 species
AGCUUUGCACAGUGGCAGUAUCAUAGCCAGUGAGGUUUAUCCAAGGCGUGAUUAUCACUAAUUGAAAAAUUUUCCCAAUACACCACCAUGAGAUUUGAAAUAUAGUCGGCGUUGGCAAUUUUUGACAGUCUCUACAGAGA